rnacentral:rRNA from 1 species
AACGAACGCUGGCGGCAUGCCUAACACAUGCAAGUCGAACGAGACCUUCGGGUCUAGUGGCGCACGGGUGCGUAACGCGUGGGAACCUGCCCUUAGGUUCGGAAUAACUCCCCGAAAGGGGUGCUAAUACCGGAUAAUGUCUGCGGACCAAAGAUUUAUCGCCCUUGGAUGGGCCCGCGUUGGAUUAGCUUGUUGGUAGGGUAAAAGCCUACCAAGGCGACGAUCCAUAGCUGGUCAGAGAGGAUGAUCAGCCACACUGAGACUGGGACACGGCCCAGACUCUUACGGGAGGCAGCAGUGGGGAAUAUUGGACAAUGGGCGAAAGCCUGAUCCAGCAAUGCCGCGUGAGUGAUGAAGGCCUUAGGGUUGUAAAGCUCUUUUACCCGGGAUGAUAAUGACGGUACCGGGAGAAUAAGCUCCGGCUAACUCCGUG